ensembl:lncRNA
GGGGGGGGGGGGGGGGGGGGGGGGGGGGGGGGGGGGGGGGGGGGGGGGGGGGGGGGGGGGGGGGGGGGGGGGGGGGGGGGGGGGGGGGGGGGGGGGGGGGGGGGGGGGGGGGGGGCCUAACCAAUCAGCGCCCGCAUCGCAGCGCGCGGGCGAAACCAAACGAGAGCGCGGGCGAUGGAGCGGGUGAGGCCUGAAGGGUCCGGGGGGGACAGAGGGGGGACUUGGGGGAUCCCUGAAGGGAAUCUGGGGGGCUGGCGGGGACCCCGCGUCACUCCCCGCAUCCCCCCCGCAGAAGCUCAGCCUGGAGCAGCGAACGGAGCGUCUGAUGCAAAGGAGGUGGGAGAGCAGCCCGGCCUCAAGUGCCGCUCGGUAUCUCCAGGUGCCCCCUGCGGACCCCAAUCUGCUCCCCCGUUCCCUCAGUGUUGUCCCGGACUCCAAGGGCUCCUCAGACCCCCAAAAGUCGCCCCACACUCCUGAGUGCCUCCCAAUUAGCUCCCUUGCUCCAGUGUUCCCCAAGAGCACCUCGGGGACCCCAAACUAUUCCACCCGAUCCCAGGUGAUGCCCUGGACCGCCAUUCUGCCCAUAAGUGCGUCCUGCAGCCCCUCAGAUUCCUCCCGAGAACACCAGUCCGGCGGGGGGCAGUGCAGGGUCAGCAUUUCGGGGCUCCUCGCCCCUCCUCCCUAAACUCUCUCUUCCCCCCACAGCCAGGCCCUGCUCAGGCCCCGCCCCUGCCGGCCAGAGCAGUGCAGGGUCAGCAUUUCGGGGCUCCUCGCCCCUCCUCCCUAAACUCUCUCUUCCCCCCACAGCCAGGCCCUGCUCAGGCCCCGCCCCUGCGGGCCAGAGGGGGCGGGGCCUCUGCUUGGCUCCGCCCCCUCCAGCUCCAUGCUCGAUGACCCCCUCGUUCAAUGGCGCUCGAGGCGGUGCCGAGGGGCGGAGCCAUCGCUGGACACGCCCCUGGUAGGCGGGCCCAUGCUGGGCUCUGCUGCUCCCCAGGGCGCCCUGCACGGAGUGCCACGGGGGCGGUCGCUGGGGGCCCCCGGGGCCCUGCAGGGCGCAGCACCCUGGGAGUCACGUGACCCCUCUAAGGCCCCAUGGCCAAUCAGGAGACACUUCCGCAAGCAGCAGGGGGCGUCUGCACCCCAGGCUGUCUCCCCGGAACCCUUGUGGCAGGAGCCAUGUUGGAGGUCACAUGACUCCCACAAGGCCCGCUGGCCAAUAAGGAGCAGCUCACUGGAUACCCUGCAGGGGGCAGGAUACUCACAGUCACGUGACUCCCACGAGGCCCUGUGGCAAAUCAGCAGCUGUUGUGCAUCUGCGCACCAGGGGGCGCCACUCCAUGGGAAGCAAGAGUGCCACGAGCCCUUGCGGCAUGAGCCAUUUUGGGACUUAUAUGACUGCCUCGGAGAUCUGCAGUGUGCACCAUAUCGGAAGUCACGUGACUCCCAGGAUGCCCUGCGGCCAGUAAGGGAGGCGCAUCCUGAGCUCCUGUGCCGGGGAGCGCCAGGCUUGGGGUCACGUGACCCCUGCAAGGCCCCACAGCCAAUCCGGAGCAGUGCCGGUGAUGCCCUACAGGGGGCGCCAUUGCAGCAGCCACUGGGGCCAUCGAGACUCUUCUGGAAUGCCCACCUGGGCACCCCCAACCCAUGGUGGGACCAAUAAAGCAGUGACACCCCAAAAUUGCACCAGGGAGGUGGGGAGACCCCCAGAAUCCUCUCCUUUACCUCCCCUACCUUUAGGAUUGCCCCAAUCCCCUCUCCCCCCAUAUGCCCCCAAGAGCAUUUCGGGGAUUCUGGGAGCUCGAAGGAGGGUGUUGCUGAGGUGCUGGGUGUCUCUGGGGGGUCCAUGAGGAUCUGUGGGGUGUUUGGAGGGGCUCUGAGGCUGCAGAAGGGGUUUGGGGGGUGCAUGGGGAGCGCUGGAAAUUGGGAGUGGUUUGGGAGGCCCUAGGUCUCUAUAGGGGUUCUGGAAGAAACCUGUGGGAUUUUGGGGGGGCACUCUAUGGGUGUUGAGGGAGAUCUGUGGAAGAUGUUGGGGGUCCAGAAAGGGGUUUGCAGGGACCCUUGGGUUUUGGGGGUCUUUAAGGGUCCGGGGGUCUGUGGGAUGUUUUGGGAAUCCCAGGACAGGGCUGGAGGGUCUGUGAGGACCAGGAAGUCUACAGGGGUGUCUGGGGGGUUACUGAGCGUAUCGGGGCAGGGAACCCCCAAACCUGUGGGGCCGUGGCUCACCUGUCUUCUUACCCUCACGGCCGACGUGGCGUCGGGGCAUUCUGGUGUUGCCCUGCCCCUGAGAGCGCUCUGGGGGGUCAUGAGGGGCCUCAGAAACCCCUCCUGAGCCCCCCAAAAUCCCUGGGGAAACCCCUGGGGCCCCCCCCCCGCCUCCAGCUCACCGCUGGCUCGCGCCAGUUUACUCGCUUUCUGGACUACAAUUCCCGAAAUGCCGCGGGCCCCGGAGAACGCCUUGGGGGGGGGGGGGGGGGGGGGGGGGGGGGGGGGGGGGGGGGGGGGGGGGGGGGGGGGGGGGGGGGGGGGGGGGGGGGGGGGGGG